CCUUGAGAGUCCUGAAGGAACGUUGAAGACGACGACGUUGAUAGGCCGGGUGUGUAAGCGCAGUGAUGCGUUGAGCUAACCGGUACUAAUGAACCGUGAGGCUUAACCUUACAACGCCGAAGCUGUU
rnacentral:rRNA from 1 species